rnacentral:rRNA from 1 species
CAAAACACACCCCUUUUUAUAAAAUUUUUUAAACACAAAAACACACAACAAGACAAAAAGCAAAACGGCACAAGGCACAUUACCACGGUUUCGACCUAUUUCGGAUAUCUCAAUGGGAUAACUGCGGAAAUACUGGAGCUAAUACCUGCACUUAAAAACCCGACGUAAGUAGGGUUGCAAUUAUUAGGCCAAACCAAUCGUCCUCGGGACGUAUUGUGGCGACUCCAAAUAGCCCAGUCUAUCGUCGGUUCUAUCCGACGAAGGCCGAAAAGGGUUUCUGCCCUAUCAACUAGACGGUAGCCCAGUAGACUACCGUGGUUGUCACGGGCACCGGAGAAUUGGGGAUUGACUCCGGAGAGGGAGCCUUAGAAACGGCUACCACAUCCAAGGAAGGCAGCAGGCGCGAAACUUAUCCACUGCCAAAAAUGAGACAGUGACUAAAAAUAUAAAACCACUCCCUCAUGGGAGGCACAUUUAAAUGAGUAGAGGUAAAAAAGCUCUUCGAGAAACUAAGAGAGGGCAAGUCUGGUGCCAGCAGCCGCGGUAAUUCCAGCUCUCUAAGUGUAAAUCGUUAUUGUUGCGGUUAAAAAGCUCGUAGUUGGAUUUAUGGCGCAUAGUGACCGUUCGCUCAUUCGGGCGUCAAUGCACACGCCAUCAUUUCGGCAGUCUGCGCUAUCUGCGAAAGCAUAUACCUGACUGUCAAGGUUACCUUAAAUAAAGUAAAAUGCUCAAAAUAAGCCUAUGCUUGAAUAUCAUAUUAUGGAAUAAUGAAAUACGACUUCGGUUCAUUUUGAGGGUUAGCGAAUCGGAGUAACGAGUAAUAGGGAUAAGCUCGGGGGCAAACGUAUAUACUGCGGGCAGAGGAAAAAACUCGAACAGCACACCAGAAACACAAUAGUGCGAACACGCUGCGCAUAAUAAUGGUUAAAAAGGAAAA